AUAGAAAUGAGUUAUUUUGAACAAUGGUAGGGAAGACGUUGAAUCAUCCAGGAAGGCUUUCUGCUUUAAUAUCAAUUUAAACUCAUAUAUUGCCAAAUCCGGACACGUCCGAGAGAACGCCAGCAAUCAAUGAGGGUGCCUCCAUGCUAUAUUCUAACAUUCCUGAUGGCUAGAGUCCUUUGUCACGGAACUGUCACUAGUAUUUGGGCAACAGAGGACUACUUUCAGCCAAAGCAAUACGGCAUGACAGUGAAGAGUGAAGAGAUUAACUUAGCGCCAGGGACAGCUGAGUUUACAAAGACACCUGCAAAGCAGAAGCUACAUGGAGCUAGUAGUGACCAUAUAGUCUCAUUUGCUGGCUGGAUUCAUGUUUCCAUCACAUUAUACACUCCUUAUAUCUAGGGGUUACGACCAACCACCCUGCAAUCCAGUGGCAGUGGUCAUGCAUGCACACUAUAGGUGGCCGGGACCGUGGAGGAGAAUGCAUUAGGCACACAUGUGCAGUAGAUCCUGUUUUGGUCACCUGGUACCUGUGCUGCAGUGGUGGCCGUAACCCCUGAAAAUGAGCAGUGUAAAAUUUGUGAUGGAAAAAUGAAUCCAGCCGGCAAAGGAGGCAAUAUGGACAAUCACAAUACACUAGUAAGUGGCUUGUAUAAACUUUCUCUGCAUAAUAAAUGCAUUUGCUGGAGUGAGUCAACCCCUUUAAUUGUAGAAUUUGGUAGACCACCAAGAAAAUAUGAUAUAGCUCCAGUGCUCUACUUUCAGUUGCACCACUGACCAAUUAAUUGUGUGUCCAAGGAUUUCCAGUUUGUAUAUAUAUUAUGAAGAUCUUUUCACCUCCAUAAUAUCUUCUACUUCACCUGGUUUUGGUCGUUUCUGAAGAACUUUACAGACACUUCCUGAUGUGGCCUUACACUCUGGAAGAAGUCGUCCAAGGCAAAACUCGUAUCAAGACAGACCACGGGAAAGAACUUGGUGCCUUGACUUUCUAUUUUUAUGCCGUCUAAUACAGAAUUUUUGUGCAUAUAAUAAAGCCAGUAUCUGCAGGAUAUUGUGGUCUCACCAUUGGAGGUCUUUUCCCUCUGCUGUUCUCUGUUUGGGAGGUUUAAAAGAUGAGAAAUUCCAUUCCAGUGAAGUGUGGUUAUCUGUGUCAACCUGCACUGAGAAUGCAACUUGUUCCUUCUGGAGUUCUCCUUGAAUGUAGAAGAUCUAUUCUUCGGACUGAAUAUGCAGUUCUUGGAUUAGAGUUAGUCAGUGUUUGGCUUAGCAGUUAUCUCCAGGGUUCUGCUGUGUCAUAACAGGACUAGAAAGUUAAAACCCAGCAGGGACCAUUGCAGUAUCGGAAAAGGAGCAGCAGGAUAUUUUUGAGGUGCAAAUUGUUUUUUUUUUUUUUACUCUACUAACCCACUCUGAGCCUGCUGAAGCCAAUUGUUCCUGCUGGAUUUAAGAAAAAUCUUUUGUAGUGUAACUGUUGUUUGAACUUUAAAAAUAAAGUGUAGGACAGUCAUAUUAAUAACAUUUGUGAUAUACUGUACUUUAUUAGGGGCAGAUGUAUACUUUUAUUAAAAGUGUUCCCUUAGCAACACUGUCCCCUUAGCAUUGCUAAUCAAAAUCUGUCGUCAGCACUCUACUGAAUGUGGCUUAUUUUCAGGUGCAGAGACAGGCUUCUCAGCCUGCCUCUGCUCCCUCUGCCCCAUCCAAUGUCUCCCUAUGUGUAACUAACC